rnacentral:misc_RNA from 1 species
AACUUUUAGCAACGGAUCACUUGGUUCUGGCAUCGAUGAAGAACGCAGCGAAAUGCGAUAAGUAAUGCGAAUUGCAGAAUUAAGUGAAUCAUCGAAUCUUUGAACGCACAUUGCGCCCGCCAGCAUUCUGGCGGGCAUGCCUGUUCGAGCGUCAUUUCAACCCUCAAGCCCCCGGGCUUGGUGUUGGGGAUCGGCGUGCCCUCCCGGCGCGCCGUCCCCUAAAUCUAGUGGCGGUCUCGCUGUAGCUUCCUCUGCGUAGUAGCAACACUCGUACUGGAUCGCAGCGCGGCCACGCCGUUAAACCCCCCACUUCUGAAAGUUUGACCUCGGAUCAGGUAGGAAUACCCGCUGAACUUAAGCAUAUCAAUAAGCGGAGGCU